GCCGGGCGUAGUGGCGGGCGCCUGUAAUCCCAGCUACCUGGGAGGCUGAGGCAGGAGAAUCACUUGAAUCCAGGAGGCGGAGGUUGUAGUGAGCCAAGAUCAUGCCACUGCACUCCAGCCUGGGUGACAGAGAAAGACUCUGUCUCAA
rnacentral:SRP_RNA from 1 species